AAAACGCAUCCCACCUACUAGUUAAAAUUACUAUUUUCACCCGAAAAAACAACUAUAUACCUUUUACUCCCCAACUCCGAGUACCCCCUAUAAGAAUUCACUGCGCGGCAAAACCUCUUCUCCAAUUGCAAAUCCCUCUUCUGCACCACCAUCAAACCCAAUUCAGCUAUGGAGGGGACGUGCGUCAGGCGGCGAUUGGUUCAGUCGACGCUGUUUCCACACAGAGAGGUUUCAGUCAAGGAAGCUGGAAAUUGCGAGGGUGAUGAAUUUGAGGAAGGUAACGAUUAAAAAGAAGAGGAGGAAGGAGAGGAGUGAUGUAGUAAUGGUAAAAAACGGAAGGGAAAGGACAAGUCGAAGGUGAAAAGGACACCGAGCAGUCACGAGCUUCUUCUGAUAAGGUAUUUGCUGUACGUCACAGUGCAUCCAUUCGCUUAUUUGACUAAUCAGGAAGAAGGUGAAGAAGAAAAUCUGGCGAUUGUGUUGCAGAUUCAUAAUAAACAUUUUUCUUUGGACUGUAGUGUUUGAGCUGUUUAAUAGUUAUAUCAUUGAUCACUUCUCAAGGUGCACAGAAAUUAUAGAAUAUUGUUGAUUUUAUGUCAAUUGCGUUGGGACACAGAAGGAAUUACAGUGGCAGGUUUAUUUCCAGUUACUUAAUUAAGAGGACUUGUUAAGUCUUUCAGAUGAUAUUUGUAUUCGCAUAUGUAUUGUGCUAAGCAUGUAGUGUGGGCUAAGGAGUGAAUAGAGACAAUCACAAAUUUAUGGAUUCUGCACUAUAAUAAAACCUAUGCUUUAGUUUUAGGACAUGGUGGUCUAAAAGGGAGCCAGUCUGAUAAUAUACAUACAACCAUAAUAGUUGUGGUUUGUGAGUUUCGCCUCAUAAUAGUAAAAUGGAGCCAAUCCCACCUUUCUUGCCUCUCUGAGCUCAUGGAAGAGGAGAUUGUCAAGUUUUUAAUUUUUUGAUGGCAGAAAAUCGGAGUCUAGUGGAAAUAGUAAUUCCGAAAGACAAGAUGAAUGACAAUAAAACAGAAAAAUACAUAUGUGAAAGAUGGUGAAGCUGACACUAUCGAGGCAAAGAAGGAAGCUAUAUUGAUGGAAUGGUGGUGCACUUGAAACGAAAGAUCCUCCACCAAUCACCGUUCGAGUACUGAAAGCUGUUGCCAUCCAACUGUGCAAAUUGAUCAUUUUGAAGCAGACAAGUGAAAAGUUGUCAGCUUUCUGCUGGAGUUGAUCAUUCUCUUAUAGAUAGAUGAUACAUGCGAAUCGCUUGAUAUUUACUAUGACCCAAAAUUAUCAUUUGUCCCUGAGACAGAGGUUACCGAUGAAGGAGAACUAUUUUCUACAACAGUCUUAUGGUCAUUUCGCCAAUGCAGUGGAAGCAUAAUCUGUAAUUCAAUAUUCACUACCAAACUUAGAUGAUAUCAUGUGAGGUUCAAUAAAUUCCAUCGUUCUUUGCACAUUCAGCCUAAUAAAGGAGAUUUUCUACAACGGUAUCUUUUGGUCAUUUUAUCAAUGCAGAAGAUGCAAAGUCUCUAAUUCAAAAUUUACUACCAAACUUGGGAUCCUGUCAGUGGCGAUAAAUUCUGACAUUCUUUACAUGUACUGCCUAUUGACAAGGAAAUAUUAAGAAAUAAAUCAGAUACUAAAACAGUAUUUGGUUAUCAAGAGGAGGUAAGAGACUAUCUGUCGAAACAUGAGGAGGGUGCUCCAAGAGGGUAUCAAGUGAUAGAUGAGUUAGCCACGUGGAUUUCACUAGGAGACUGAAGUCCUUCACUAACCCCUGAACCUGAUUGUGUAAUUGAUUGUUUACAAGAAACAUGGAAAAAUCUGUGUCGCCUUCGUGAGGAUUUCAAACAGUAUGUUACCUCAGAAGAGAAAAAUACUUGCCAAGCUCUAAAUCUUCCACAUGGAAUGAGUAAUUUAAUUUCAGAAGCUGAUUUAUUACUUAAAGAUUGCCAAGCGAUGUUACCCAUAGGUGUUCACCCAUUGAUUCUACUUUUAAUUUUUGUGCAUGUGAUGUGCAUAAUAAUAUUUUACUUUAAUGCAGGAUUUUCUGGGGUCAUCAACAAUUUUUUGUGAGAAAUCACACUCAUAUAGUUCUUGAGAUGAUCAAUUGCAAAUGUCAUCUGUUAUUGCUCAACGUGGAAUAUGGUAGUAUGCUAAAGAAACUGCUGCUUUGGGAUCAACAAUGUGGUCCAUACCAUAAGCACGGUGGAUUUGGCAUUGGAGAUGUUAAGAGUCCUCUGCAAGCACGAUGGCACUGGGAAAACUAGCUAGUCAUUGUGAAAGAAAGAUUGAAAGAUUAAAGAUGAUACCACCAAAAAGUUGCCAUCUUAUAAGAAGCAAAAUGAACUCGUCUCUUUACAAUAUACUCAAGUCUGUAGUUCCCUCAAAAGUCGUAUCUGGUAGCGAUGGGUGAGGCAUUUCAUGAAUACCUGCCAACAUUAAGCCAGAUUUCAAGAUUAGAAGACUGCCGUUUACCCAAAUGCAUUGACAAGAGAAAGCAAAGAAGGGCACAGGUCGCACGGCAUUAUUUGAGGUCAGGAUCGUUAGCAUUCUCAGCAGAACAAAUAUCCUUGAUCGGCGAACACAACAGCUACCUAAAGUCUUCAUCCCAUCGUUUCAAAUAAAUGUUUAAUCGAGGAGAGUUAACAGGCUUGGGCGUAGUUAGCAUGUGUUUAUUUGCUGAGUGCAGUUUCUUCGGGACAAAAACACAACUGGGGUAAUGAGAUAGCCUUUAAGAAGGGAUUCAA